rnacentral:rRNA from 1 species
CAGUCGCCGCGGGAACACAGAGGGUGCGAGCGUUAAUCGGAUUUACUGGGCGUAAAGCGUGCGUAGGCGGCUUCUUAAGUCGGAUGUGAAAUCCCUGAGCUUAACUUAGGAAUUGCAUUCGAUACUGGGAAGCUAGAGUAUGGGAGAGGAUGGUAGAAUUCCAGGUGUAGCGGUGAAAUGCGUAGAGAUCUGGAGGAAUACCGAUGGCGAAGGCAGCCAUCUGGCCUAAUACUGACGCUGAGGUACGAAAGCAUGGGGAGCAAACAGGAUUAGAUACCCGGGUAGUCCCUGUCUCUUAUAA